rnacentral:lncRNA from 1 species
UUACCUGUAACAACGAAAUCUACUGAAAUUGGUAUCACACUAAUGAUAAUGAAUCCAUAGUAAACAAGAAUGUGUCCAAAGUACAUGGACGCUCUACUCGCACUAUUAUUUUCCAUGUUCAGUGGACCGGGAAAUUGGGGUAAAAAAUCUAUUUUGUUUAACCUGAUCCAGGACAGACAAAUGAACGAACGAACGAACCAACGAGCGUACGCACAGACCAGAAAACAUAAUGCCCCUCUACUAUCGUAGGUGGGGCAUAAAAAUAUCCUUCAUUAAAUCAAGCAGCCUGGUGUAAAAUCACAUUUUUGUUAUCCAAAAUAUUUAUUGAAAUUUCAAUAUGUUACCUCCUAGACGUAAUAAAUAAACAAAGAUCCACACAUUGCCUUAAAGCUCAGUCUUCCCAAAUAAGAGUUGUUGUUGGAGAUGACGGGUGCCUUACAUUUGCAUUCAUUUAGGUAAUAAAAAAUAAAUGCAUUUUCAGGACCGUAUAAUUAUAAUGUGAUAUGCAUAUAAACCCUGCUUUGCACUAGACGUUCAAAGUGAGCUGAAUUAAUUCUAGAUUUAGUUCUCCAGAAAACAGUCGGCACGAAGAACUGUCAUCCAACCCAGACAUAUUAUUCUGAUUUGAGAUGACUAGUUCUAACUCAUAUAUGCCAUGUGAUAAGCAGGACAACUA